CCAUCACAACGGCUUCCUGACGUGAUGGUGAAUGAUCAAUGGAGCG
rnacentral:ncRNA from 1 species